GCUGGGUGUAGUGGUGCAUGCCUGUAAUCCCAGAAGCUUUGGAGGCUGAGGCAGGAAGAUUUCAAGUUCAAGGCCAGCCUCAGCAAUCAGAGAGGUUCUAAGCAACUUAGAGAGGUCCUGUCUCAA
rnacentral:sRNA from 1 species